rnacentral:rRNA from 1 species
AUACGGAGGGUGCGAGCGUUAAUCGGAAUUACUGGGCGUAAAGGGCACGUAGGCGGCUUAAUAAGUCAGAUGUGAAAGCCCCGGGCUUAACCUGGGAACUGCAUUUGAAACGGUUAGGCUAGAGUUUGAUAGAGGGGAGUGGAAUUUCCGGUGUAGCGGUGAAAUGCGUAGAGAUCGGAAGGAACACCAGUGGCGAAGGCGACUCCCUGGAUUAAAACUGACGCUGAGGUGCGAAAGCGUGGGUAGCAAACAGGAUUAGAUACCCCAGUAGUCC